GAUGAACGCUGGCGGCGUGCCUAAUACAUGCAAGUCGAGCGAACGGACGAGAAGCUUGCUUCUCUGAUGUUAGCGGCGGACGGGUGAGUAACACGUGGAUAACCUACCUAUAAGACUGGGAUAACUUCGGGAAACCGGAGCUAAUACCGGAUAAUAUUUUGAACCGCAUGGUUCAAAAGUGAAAGACGGUCUUGCUGUCACUUAUAGAUGGAUCCGCGCUGCAUUAGCUAGUUGGUAAGGUAACGGCUUACCAAGGCAACGAUGCAUAGCCGACCUGAGAGGGUGAUCGGCCACACUGGAACUGAGACACGGCCCAGACUCCUACGGGAGGCAGCAGUAGGGAAUCUUCCGCAAUGGGCGAAAGCCUGACGGAGCAACGCCGCGUGAGUGAUGAAGGUCUUCGGAUCGUAAAACUCUGUUAUCAGGGAAGAACAUAUGUGUAAGUAACUGUGCACAUCUUGACGGUACCUAAUCAGAAAGCCACGGCUAACUACGUG
rnacentral:rRNA from 1 species